rnacentral:lncRNA from 1 species
GUUGGAGGGAAUCAUACUCUGACAUUACUCUGGACCAAAAGGAUUUAUCAGACAUUUUGUGAGAGGCUUUAUAUUUAGGUUUUGCAAGUAUUUUCUCACUUAAUUGUCAAAAUAUCUGUGAGGUAGAGACUGUUAUUGAUGCCACGUUGUGUAUGAUGAAAUGUGAUGCCUAGGGAUAUGAAGGGAUUCCACCAACGUUACAUGGCCAGAAAGAGACACCAAGGACCUAGUUCUAUCUGACUUGAGUCUGUAGCCCAAAUCAUCCACCAAUGUGUUAUCACCAAGUCUUUUUUCAUAUUGACAGUCUUUCAACAACCAGGAUUCCUAAAACUUUUCUCCGUGUGUUUGUGUGUUCACUGGGGAUAUAACCCAGAGCUUCUCUACCAAAUUUAUCCUUUGAGAUCGGUUUUUACUAAGUUGCCCCAGCUGGCCUUGAACUUGUAAUCCUCCUGCCUCAGGCUCCUGAG